CUACGGGUGGCAGCAGUGGGGAAUAUUGGACAAUGGGGGAAACCCUGAUCCAGCAAUGCCGCGUGUGUGAAGAAGGCCUGCGGGUUGUAAAGCACUUUCGGUUGGGAGGACUGCUUCUAGCACUAAUAUUGUUGGAAGUUGACGUUACCUUCAGAAGAAGCACCGGCUAACUCCGUGCCAGCAGCGCGGUAAUACGGAGGGUGCAAGCGUUAAUCGGAAUUACUGGGCGUAAAGCGCGCGUAGGCGGCUAGAUCAGUCGGGUGUGAAAGCCCCGGGCUUAACCUGGGAACUGCAUCCGAUACUGGCUAGCUUGAGUACAGGAGAGGAGAGUGGAAUUCCACAUGUAGCGGUGAAAUGCGUAGAUAUGUGGAGGAACACCAAUGGCGAAGGCAGCUCUCUGGCCUGAUACUGACGCUGAGGUGCGAAAGCGUGGGGAGCAAACAGGAUUAGAUACCCUUGUAGUC
rnacentral:rRNA from 1 species